CCUACGGGGGGCAGCAGUGAGGAAUAUUGGUCAAUGGGCGGGAGCCUGAACCAGCCAAGCCGCGUGAGGGAAGAAGGUACAGCGUAUCGUAAACCUCUUUUGCCAGGGAACAAAGGCGGGGACUAGUCCCCGGAUGAGGGUACCUGAAGAAAAAGCAUCGGCUAACUGCGUGCCAGCAGCCGCGGUAAUACGGAGGAUGCGAGCGUUAUCCGGAUUUAUUGGGUUUAAAGGGUGCGCAGGGGGCCUGUUAAGUCAGCGGGAAAAGCCCGGGGUUCAACCCCGGCCGGCCGUUGAAACUGGGGGGCUGGAGUGGGAGAGAAGUACGCGGAAUGCGCGGUGUAGCGGUGAAAUGCUUAGAUAUCGCGCAGAACCCCGAUUGCGAAGGCAGCGUACCGGCUCCACACUGACGCUGAGGCACGAAAGCGUGGGUAUCGAACAGGAUUAGAUACCCUUGUAGUC
rnacentral:rRNA from 1 species